rnacentral:rRNA from 1 species
AUUGAACGCUGGCGGCAUGCCUUACACAUGCAAGUCGAACGGCAGCACGGGAGCAAUCCUGGUGGCGAGUGGCGAACGGGUGAGUAAAGUAUCGGAACGUACCUUUCAGUGGGGGAUAACGUAGCGAAAGUUACGCUAAUACCGCAUAUUCUGUGAGCAGGAAAGCAGGGGAUCGCAAGACCUUGCGCUGAUGGAGCGGCCGAUAUCAGAUUAGCUAGUUGGUGAGGUAAAGGCUCACCAAGGCGACGAUCUGUAGCGGGUCUGAGAGGAUGAUCCGCCACACUGGGACUGAGACACGGCCCAGACUCCUACGGGAGGCAGCAGUGGGGAAUUUUGGACAAUGGGGGCAACCCUGAUCCAGCCAUGCCGCGUGAGUGAAGAAGGCCUCGGUUGUAAGUCUCUUUCGUCCGGGAAAAC